AGGCGGUCUGGAAGGCGAAGGGGUAUGGUCAGGAGUCUUACUGCUUUGGAGAGAUGGACAAGGUAAACCAGUGGCCCCCAGGACAUAUCUCCCAAGCCUAGCUGAGGUGGCACAUGGUCUGACUCAUCUGCUCAAGGAAGGUAUGCGCAAAUUGAAUAUUGGUAAGACGAUACCGACGGAGCCAUCCCAUAUCCCUCCUACACACGGACCUUUCCAGCGAAACUUCUACCAAAUCCGGACAUCAGUGUGCAAUGACACAGUAGGAACUCGGUGGUGGAAACCUGCAAGCACACCUGGACCAAGCAUCGUCCACUUAUUAAAACCAACCUAUGACCCCUCAUGUACUGUAAAUGACCUGCCCCUUGACCUAUGGAAGAAGAGCUUACAUUUCCUUUUGUAUUGUAUUUUGGACCCAUUGUAUAAAAGAGAGGCUCCCUUACCAGGCAUCAGUCUAUUCUCUGGAGGUCAUCUUGCUAAGACUGACUGAGACCUGGAUCCAGGAGCGCUGGCGAAUAAACGUAUGUACUAUUGGUUGUAGCUCUUCUCUGUAAUAUUGUUGUAUUUUCUACUUGUAUCUUUUUGAGUAAAUAUUGUUGAUGUGUUGGACCACAACAUAACAUUUAA